rnacentral:snRNA from 1 species
AUCUUUUCCCUUGGGACAUUGACGCAACUAGUGAGGUAAAAUCGAGACGCGUUAAUUGCUGGUUGAAAAAUAUUUCCAACCUUACUCGUUGGCCUGGGCUACGCUUUGGCCUUCGAGAAUUUUUGGAGGGUCUGCCUUUGGC